rnacentral:lncRNA from 1 species
GUCCUUGGGAAGGUUGUCUCAGACAAGCAAAGGAAUUAAUCUUAAGGUGUGCAGUAAGAGCCUGAACAAGUCCAAUUGUGACUGUGCUUUUCCCUUCUCCUAGGGGUGUAGGGGUUAUUCCAGCAACUAGAACAUAUUUUCCAUCUGGUUGAUCCUUUAACCUUUCCAGCAGGGACAAACGUACUUUGGCUUUGGUUUGGCCAUAGAUUUCAAUUUCAUCUGUAAGCAAUCCUAUCUCCUUGGCAAGUACAUCAACAGCUUUUGGAC